CGGUUGUAAGUGCUUCUUUUUUAUUUCUUUGCUCUUAUAAGUUGAUUAUUUUUGUUAUUUAUUUAUGUUACUAAUUUAUUUUCCAUCAUGCAGACACGAGUAAAUUCAAUUAUUAUGUGGUCAGAGAGUAAAUUGAGCCCAACAAGCCCAACUGCUUUAUAGGAACUAUAGUUAGACUCUCAGGUAAUUAAAAGCAAGCAGAUUAUCACUUGUUCUAUCCAUGUGAAAUAAUAAUAGCCGAUCAAUGGUUACAGUCAACACGUCACAAAAUGGUGAUGAUUAUUAAGUGCAUAGGUGCAUACUUUUCUUUACGGAGCCUGCACAUACGACCCUUGAAAUUUGGGCUACUCAAUUUAAAUUGUUGAAUCCAACAUACAAAAAAUUGUCCCUUAACUUACUACUAUAUUAUUUCGUUAAUAUUCUAGUUUUGUUUUCGCACGAAUGUCCUUAAAAUUAUCUUUCCUCCAUGCAGCUAUGGAUAUUUAUCUUCAAGUAACAUAUGCUAAGAUGUGUCUAAUAACAAAUGAUAUUACUGAGCUGAUAGUAUGGUCAGUUCCCUUUUCGCCCUCGAAACAUAAUUUAUGAGGAAUUCUUUUAUAUGGGAAGUGAUAUUUUCUUUUACCUGCUGAUGAUUAAUAAUCAGAGACUUCUUUUUUAUUUCUUUGCCUUUAUUAAUUGAUUUUUUUGUUAUUUAUUUAUAUUACUAAUUUAUUUUUCAUCAUGCCGACUCAGGUAAAAUCAAUUAUUAUGUGGUCGAAGAGCAAAUUGAGGUCAACUACUUUAUAGGAAGUAUAGUAGUACUCAAAGGUAAUUAAAAGCGAGCAGAUUAUCACUUGCUCUAUACAUGUGAAAUAAUAAUAGUCGAUCAAUGGUUACAGUCAACACGUCAUAAUAACAACCCAUUGCACCUGAUUGUAUAUGGUCAAGCCGACGUACAAAAUGGUGAUGAUUAUUAAGUGCAUAGGUGCAGACUUAUCUUUACAGAGCCUACACAUAUGACCCUUGAAAGUUGUGCUACUCAAUUUAAAUUGG
rnacentral:lncRNA from 1 species